UAGGAUGUUAGAUUCAGAAAAGCCACUCCACUGUGGGAAACUGACAUCCAUUACAAGCCUCUAUCAACCGCUGUCCCAGGCUUGACUGAUUCUUUCAUUUUUAAAAGGAACCACAUGUGUUCUUUCUGCCACUGCCAGGGGCACCCGCAGAAGCCAGGCCAAAGGACAGAACUCAGGGCUGAAUCAGAGUGCCGGAAAGACCUCCCGAUGGCAUCGCCUCCUCCUGCGUCCCUUCCUCAGAAAGAAAAUAUGAUGCUGGCAUGCUAAUUGCGUGAGACAACUCGGCCCACAGACAGCCACAAAGCACAAAAACAAAACAAACUCAGAGAAGACAUGAGAAUGGUGUUUUCCUGGCGUCUACAAGAAGCGCUUUAUUUUUUCCUCUAGAUUGCUUUUCUAAAAAAAAAAAAAAACAAAAACAAAAAAACAAAACACGAAACUGAAACAAACAGUUAAAGGAACAAGACAAAGUUCAGGUGAUCAUAUUCAAGCAUGUUCUUUUAUUAAGCGUAGGAUGGAAGGGACGAGAGGAUGCGGAAGCAGGAUGCUGAACAGAUACGCGGGGGCCGUGCACCUCUGUGACGGGGUCCUUCCUGAAACUGCGGGAAGGAUGAAGGGAACGGCUUUUUAUCCCCCAGCCCCCAAACACCUGGGGCAUCCUUAGGGGUGCCAGGCCCCCUUUCCCGCCCGGCGCGGUGUUCAGGGGGUGGCCUGUGAGGUCUGCUUGCUGUGAGCUGAAGAAUCCUUUGCGCUGCUCCGGCAGUGAACCAGUGCCCUGCGACACACUCCCUGCCCGCACCACCUGUUUCUCAGCGUCCCCUCCGCCUCGGUGGGAACAAGGGCCAGAGGGGGCC
rnacentral:lncRNA from 1 species